rnacentral:rRNA from 1 species
GGGGAUAGCCUUUCGAAAGAAAGAUUAAUACCCGAUGGCAUAGUUCUUCCGCAUGGUAGAACUAUUAAAGAAUUUCGGUCAUCGAUGGGGAUGCGUUCCAUUAGGUUGUUGGCGGGGUAACGGCCCACCAAGCCUUCGAUGGAUAGGGGUUCUGAGAGGAAGGUCCCCCACAUUGGAACUGAGACACGGUCCAAACUCCUACGGGAGGCAGCAGUGAGGAAUAUUGGUCAAUGGACGAGAGUCUGAACCAGCCAAGUAGCGUGAAGGAUGACUGCCCUAUGGGUUGUAAACUUCUUUUAUACGGGAAUAAAGUGAGGCACGUGUGCCUUUUUGUAUGUACCGUAUGAAUAAGGAUCGGCUAACUCCGUGCCAGCAGCCGCGGUAAUACGGAGGAUCCGAGCGUUAUCCGGAUUUAUUGGGUUUAAAGGGAGCGUAGGCGGACGCUUAAGUCAGUUGUGAAAGUUUGCGGCUCAACCGUAAAAUUGCAGUUGAUACUGGGUGUCUUGAGUACAGUAGAGGCAGGCGGAAUUCGUGGUGUAGCGGUGAAAUGCUUAGAUAUCACGAAGAACUCCGAUUGCGAAGGCAGCCUGCUGGACUGUAACUGACGCUGAUGCUCGAAAGUGUGGGUAUCAAACAGGAUUAGAUACCCUGGUAGUCCACACAGUAAACGAUGAAUACUCGCUGUUUGCGAUAUACAGUAAGCGGCCAAGCGAAAGCGUUAAGUAUUCCACCUGGGGAGUAC